GAUGAACGCUGGCGGCGUGCUUAACACAUGCAAGUCGAACGAUGAAGCCCAGCUUGCUGGGUGGAUUAGUGGCGAACGGGUGAGUAACACGUGAGUAACCUGCCCUUGACUCUGGGAUAAGCCUGGGAAACUGGGUCUAAUACUGGAUAUGACUUCUCAUCGCAUGGUGGGGGGUGGAAAGAUUUAUUGGUCUUGGAUGGACUCGCGGCCUAUCAGCUUGUUGGUGAGGCAAUGGCUCACCAAGGCGACGACGGGUAGCCGGCCUGAGAGGGUGACCGGCCACACUGGGACUGAGACACGGCCCAGACUCCUACGGGAGGCAGCAGUGGGGAAUAUUGCACAAUGGGCGCAAGCCUGAUGCAGCGACGCCGCGUGAGGGAUGACGGCCUUCGGGUUGUAAACCUCUUUCAGUAGGGAAGAAGCGAGAGUGACGGUACCUGCAGAAGAAGCGCCGGCUAACUACGUG
rnacentral:rRNA from 1 species